GAUGAAGAACGCAGCGAAAUGCGAAAAGUAGUGUGAAUUGCAGAAUUCAGUGAAUCAUCGAAUCUUUGAACGCACAUUGCGCCCGCCAGUAUUCUGGCGGGCAUGCCUGUUCGAGCGUCAUUUCAACCCUCAAGCACAGCUUGGUGUUGGGACUCGCGUUAAUUCGCGUUCCUCAAAUUGAUUGGCGGUCACGUCGAGCUUCCAUAGCGUAGUAGUAAAACCCUCGUUACUGGUAAUCGUCGCGGCCACGCCGUUAAACCCCAACUUCUGAAUGUUGACCUCGGAUCAGGUAGGAAUACCCGCUGAACUUAAGCAUAUCAAUAAGCGGAGGA
rnacentral:misc_RNA from 1 species